rnacentral:piRNA from 1 species
UUUUUAGUUGGUGGUGAAAAA